AAGGUAGCAUAAUCAUUAGUUUUUUAAUUGGGGACUGGAAUGAAAGAUUGGACGAGAGAUUGACUGUCUUAUUAGGUUGAAGUUGUUGUUUAUGUGAGGAAACAUAAGGGACGAGAAGACCCUAUUAAGUUUGAUUAUUUUAUUGGGGUGGUAAUGAUGAUAAAGAGAUGUAAUUACUAUAGGGAUAACAGCGUAAAGUUUUUGGAGAGAUCAUAUUGAUAAAAAAUUUUGCGACCUCGAUGUUGAAUUAAAUCUUUUUGGAGAAGGACUUUUGAAUUUUUACA
rnacentral:rRNA from 1 species